rnacentral:rRNA from 1 species
UGGGGAAUUUUGCACAAUGGGGGAAACCCUGAUGCAGCGACGCCGCGUGAUUUAGAAGGCCUUCGGGUUGUAAAAAUCUUUUCUAUGGGAAGAAAAUGACAGUACCAUAGGAAUAAGGACCGGCUAAUUACGUGCCAGCAGCCGCGGUAAUACGUAAGGUCCGAGCGUUGUCCGGAAUCAUUGGGCCUAAAGGGUACGUAGGCGGGUAAGCAAGUUAGAAGUGAAAUCCUAUAGCUCAACUAUAGUAAGCUUUUAAAACUGCUCAUCUUGAGGUAUGGAAGGGAAAGUGGAAUUCCUAGUGUAGCGGUGAAAUGCGCAGAUAUUAGGAGGAAUACCGGUGGCGAAGGCGACUUUCUGGCCAUAACCUGACGCUGAGGUACGAAAGCGUGGGUAGCAAACAGG